UUCAUUAAAGUGUAUUCACAUAAAAAUUUGAUUUUUAAAAAGGUAAACUACCUAAUUAUU
rnacentral:tRNA from 2 species